GGUAUUUUGACCGUGCAAAGGUAGCAUAAUCAUUAGUUUUUUAAUUGGAAGCUGGUAUGAAAGGUUGGAUGAAAAAUAAGCUGUCUCUAUUUAAUUUCAUUAGAAUUUUAUUUUUAAGUUAAAAAGCUUAAAUUUUAAUAGAAGACGAGAAGACCCUAUAGAGUUUUAUUUAUUUUUUUAAUAAAAUUAUUAGUAUUGAUUAUUUUUAUUGAUUAGAUAAAUUUGGUUGGGGUGAUCAAAAAAUUUGAUAAACUUUUUUUACAUAUAAACAUUUAUAUAUGAUUAAUUGAUCCUUAACUUAAGAUUAAAAGAUAAAAUUACCUUAGGGAUAACAGCGUAAUUUUUUUUGAGAGUUCAAAUCGAAAAGAAAGAUUGCGACCUCGAUGUUGGAUUAAAAUAAAAUUUUGGUGUAGAAGCUAAAA
rnacentral:rRNA from 1 species